AGUGAACGCUGGCGGCAGGCCUAACACAUGCAAGUCGAGCGGCAGCGCGUCCGACCACCCUCGGGUGGUCGGAUGGCGGCGAGCGGCGGACGGGUGAGGAAUGCAUCGGAAUCUGCCUCGUUGUGGGGGAUAACGUAGGGAAACUUACGCUAAUACCGCAUACGACCUACGGGUGAAAGUGGGGGACCUUCGGGCCUCACGCGAUGAGAUGAGCCGAUGCCGGAUUAGCUAGUUGGCGGGGUAAAGGCCCACCAAGGCGACGAUCCGUAGCUGGUCUGAGAGGAUGAUCAGCCACACUGGAACUGAGACACGGUCCAGACUCCUACGGGAGGCAGCAGUGGGGAAUAUUGGACAAUGGGGGCAACCCUGAUCCAGCCAUGCCGCGUGUGUGAAGAAGGCCUCGGUUGUAACUGCUUUGUCUAGGAAGAAAUACUUCUGGCUAAUACCCCGGA
rnacentral:rRNA from 1 species